UUUUAGCCCCGAUAGCAGUGAGAAUUCUUUUUUUUUUGCUUCUUAGCAAGCAAAAGAUUACUUCACUUAGCGUUUGU
rnacentral:sRNA from 1 species